rnacentral:rRNA from 1 species
UCCUACGGGGGGCAGCAGUAGGGAAUCUUCCACAAUGGGCGAAAGCCUGAUGGAGCAACGCCGCGUGGGGGAAUGAAGGUCUUCGGAUUGUAAACCCCUGUCAUGUGGGAGCAAAUUAAAAAGAUAGUACCACAAGAGGAAGAGACGGCUAACUCUGUGCCAGCAGCCGCGGUAAUACAGAGGUCUCAAGCGUUGUUCGGAAUCACUGGGCGUAAAGCGUGCGUAGGCUGUUUCGUAAGUCGUGUGUGAAAGGCGCGGGCUCAACCCGCGGACGGCACAUGAUACUGCGAGACUAGAGUAAUGGG